GUCAACAACCCAGCGCUGACCGAUACGAGCGGUACAGCGUGGGCUUGAGAAAUAAUUCUUAAGCCCUGUUGAUUAGCCUUAGCAGCUCGUUAAUAGUAAGAGCUGCUCCGUUUAUCGAGAAUAUAUAGGCAUCGUGGGGUGCAGGAUUGACGCUUCGGCUCCGCUCAGCGUCAACUAUCCGUUUCCUAGCUCCACGCUCUGCG
rnacentral:sRNA from 21 species